rnacentral:tRNA from 1 species
GGGAUUGUGGCUCAGUGGUAGAGCGCUCACCUCGCACAUGUGAGAUCUUGGGUUCGAUCCUCAGCACCA